GGAAUCCAUUCAUCCAUCCCCAGCCAGGUAUGGGACUCCCCAUUGCCCAGCUUUGCAAUCUGCAGCGUGCUCAACUCCGGGCACACUGCGAACAACCUAUUUCAAAGGAUGUGAUAGAGUAAUAUACAGGACUAGACAGAGCAGAUGUUGUCCAACUGUCCGGCUUGCCUGGUCCAUACUGAGAGAAGAAGAAUCGUCUUGGGGUGCAUAUAAAAUGCGUCAUAUAUUUAAUAUAUUUACAGGUGAUGUCUCUCACUGACAUCUUCUACUUCUCCUUCUACUACUACGGAGAAGCUGCCAGCGCUGGUAAGACAUGGAAUAUAAUAAAUAGCCACUGAAAAGACCUGCUACAGAUCCAUUUAAAAGAAAAGAAUGUGGCACGAGAAGUGACUCGGAGGGAAUGAGAGAAUUGUGAAUAUUAUUUUCCAGCAUGUCCUCCUAGAAACAAAGAUCAUCUGACAUGAUGGUCCUCUUGAUCAGAUUGAGACAGACUUCAAAAGGAAGUGAAUCAAGGAUGUUGCGUCUUGAAGGGAAUAAACAUAUUGCCUACUAGGGAACUACUUUUUCUCCCAACAUCCUAUUUAGGGCAUUUGGAUUCCCAAGUGAAUGCUGGUAUGUGAGCGAUGUAAACGUUUCUUUUUCACCAUCAAGUUGUAUAUCUCUAAGGUCUAUGUAAGUAACAUUACUAUUUUGGCCACCUUUUAUCUCUUUGCAGCAGCUCAUAAUUUUAAUGCCUUCGUUAAGUCUAGCUAUAGUCAUUUCAAAAUUUAGUUAGAGUCGGCAAUUAAUUAUUUUUCUCAGCUGAGAAUCUUUCUCUGUUUUGUUUCUCAUUUUAUUACAUGUAUCUCUUUUAAAUUUUGUAGGUUAGAACUGUGAAAAAUGUUUUAAUAGAAAGUAGCUGAGUCUGUAACCCUGGUUAAUAAUCUCAACUGCAAGCUUACUGAGAGAUCAGGUUGUAUUUUAAUACUUAUGUGCUAAUAUUAAAUGUUUAGGUUUUGCAAAUGAAAUUUUUCUAACUAGCAUCAUAGUAAGUUAGCCAAAAUCCCAGAUAGUAUUAUGUUUCUGUUAUGAUUAAACACAUUUAUGUUACUACUUAACUACCUAUUCCAAAACAGAGCCUGUACAAAACCUGCAAAUUAUGGGUGAAAAAGUUAAACUGUAUUUGCUGUUUUAUAGCAUGUGGAAUAUGAUUGUUGACUUUAACA
ensembl:lncRNA